UACGUAGGGUGCGAGCGUUAAUCGGAAUACUGGGCGUAAAGCGUGCGCAGGCGGUGAUGUAAGACAGGUGUGAAAUCCCCGGGCUUAACCUGGGAACUGCAUUUGUGACUGCAUCGCUGGAGUGCGGCAGAGGGGGAUGGAAUUCCGCGUGUAGCAGUGAAAUGCGUAGAUAUGCGGAGGAACACCGAUGGCGAAGGCAAUCCCCUGGGCCUGCACUGACGCUCAUGCACGAAAGCGUGGGGAGCAAACAG
rnacentral:rRNA from 1 species